rnacentral:lncRNA from 1 species
CAUGCUGAGUCACCACCCACAAGGCCCAGGGCGGGCCCUCUAGGGGGCCAUAGGCAGGGUGGAGGGGUCCUUGGGAAGUUACAAGGAGGGUGGGGGCAGGGGCCUUUAUUAAAGCAGGAGUCCGAAAGAAGAGCAGGUGGCCUGAAGAAUCCCCGUGGACAGACAGACAGACAGUGCAGUCACCCAUAAAGUAGAAAGCACUACUAACAGCACUGGAGGGUGUAGUGUUUCCUACUUUAUGGAUGAGUGUACUGUGGGCUUCGGAGAUCACGCCACACCGCGGCCCCCUGCCACCGCCUUCCUCUACCCCAACAUCAAGGAGACAGGUGAGCAUCUCUUGAACCUCUUCAUUUGGCCAGCCCCUACCCCCCGAAAGACCAUCACCGCUCCCCAAAGCACUGUGCUUCCUGACUCCAGAUACUUGGGGAAACACCACAGCCGCUCUCUCGAAUUCAAGUCGGGUAUGGGGUGGGGCUGGAUGUGUGGGUCUUGUCCUGCACCGCAGGCAGACUGGGGAUUCCAGAAGGGAGCCCAGAUGGAUGGGAUUGGGUGAAGGUCACAGGGCCCUCAACACUAAUAAAGAAUGGACUUGUUUCA